CUCCCUCUGCCAACGCAGGUAGCGGAAGCCGGCAGCAGUGCAUCCAUGGAGCGGCAGCUCCGUUCAUAUUCUCUGGAUGAUGCCUCUGUGCCGCGUGCGUGUCUUGUGUGCGUUCUUGCAUGGUAGUAUUGUUGCUCCGCAUCCAUGUUGCGUGUGCUCUGUUUGUAUGAUGCGUGCGCGGUGGCCUCUGCUUGCUUGUGCCUGCUGACUGCAACUGUUGUUACUUACUACUGUAUUUUGUAGUUGUUGACAGGUCGUGAACAUGGUGGUGAGGCACGGAUGCAGCCUCAACGCAAUCAAAUCGCUCCUGAGUGUGGAGAAGCAGUGUCGUCUCACAGUCAAUGUGGCCAGGAUGCACUUGUGUGGAUGGUUUUCAGAUCCCAAUCAUGGUACACGUGCUGCAACAACGUCAUGAUAUUGAAGUGGAAAGUUUGUGCAUGAUUACAACAGGAUAUGUAUUGGUUCUUCACUACAAAGAGAUAAUAUUUGUAGAUGCUCCCAAUAAUUUGAACAUGAUGUUGCCGCUAUAUCUGGGUGUUCAGAGGCAUGACUUAUCUGCAACCUAUACCCCAUCAUCUACUGUGACCUAAAGCCAAAUUUCAAGAAGAGGAAAUGGAGCAACUUGGUCUUCUCUGUUCUCUUGCUGCAUUCUCUGGGAAUCAUAAAUACUUGCAUAUCCGGCCGCAAGCCUUUGUAAGGUUAUGCUCUACUUUACUAUUUGAAUCAUGGUAAGGUGCAAGAAAUAUCUUUUCGGUGAUAAUGGAGGCCGAGUGAUUCUGCUUGGUGAGGUUGUCGUUCCUGAGAAGGUGAAACUGGUGAACCACAAGGCCAUUGUCAACAGCUUCAGUUACUACACUGCGCUUGAGCUGUACAGAAACGAAGUGUUCGACACGAGUACGCAUAAACAUUCGGCUUCAUCAUUUACAAGGUCAGUAUGAGGCUGUUUG